rnacentral:lncRNA from 1 species
AAUUUCCCAUAGAAUCUCUGGAGCUUUCCUAGCCACUAUAGUUUUCUUUUUUUAUCUUCUUUGUCUGAAAAUAGGUUUGAUUUACUUCACUUAUAAGAAUUUCUACCAAUUUAUCUUUUAUUCAUCAAAGCUCAUCCUAAUCUCUGUCGAGAUUACUGCCUUAGCCCUGUCCUAUCAUCUGUAUAAUGGAGUUCGACAUUUAUUGACGGAUUUUUCUUUCUUAGAAUUGGAAGAAAAAGAUUGAAAUGACUGUGCAAAAUUGAACCUAUACCUUUCUUUGAGAUUGAAACUUCCAAUUCUGCUUUUUUUUUCUUAUGAAAUGUUUAUUAUUCGUUGAUAGAUCUAAAUCUUAUGCCGUAGAAGCUGACAUCAGGCUAUUGGCCUUUUAUCUGCAUCUUACCUCGUAGAUUGGCGUCUUUUAUAAGAAAAGACUUUCUCAGUGGAACUCAAAAAAAAAAAAGAGUUUGAGCUCUUUUUUUGGUUGACUUUUAGCCAUGCGCGGCGGCUAUGCGCAUGUGUCCCAAAGUGACGUAUAUUUUUUGGUAAUGGGUAUACUCGAGAGAAAAGGUUUGGAAUUCGACCUCCCCUUAUACACUCUAAAAGGGGGUCAUGGACUCCUUAUUAGUUUAGGAUCCCCUUUCUACAUUCAAUUAUUUAUUGAGCCUGGUGUGGAAUCACCAUCAUUACACAUUCAUUCUUGGUCUGGCUGCUGGUCUAGCGAGCCUUCCUAGCCGCCUAGAGUGCAGCCUGCCUGCUGAAGACCGUAACGUAAGUAACUCAGUGCUCCAUACGGGGGAAAUGAAAGCAGAAUUCGUUCGGAUCCUCCCACAUGUUCAAUCUUUUUUUAGCGGUUUCCCCAGAGAUCUUUAUCAUUAAUGCAACCUUCAUUUUGCUCAUUCAUGGAGUUGUAUUUAGUACCUCUAAGAAAUAUGAUUAUCCACCGUUAGUCAGUAAUGUGGUUUGGCUUGGAUUACUUAGUGUUGCGCGCCUAGGAGGGCAGCACGCUUUGGGAUGCGGAGGAGCUAUUAUCGUCCAGAUCCCUAACCUUAAGCAGCACCGGAUUUGGACCACAGGGAACCAUAGCAUAGGGGGACAUCUAAUCCUUUUGCCGCUGCAAGGCUGGCUAAUCGUACGUAGUAGGCUCGAAUACCCCUGGUUCUGGAAGGCACAUGAGUCCGAACGCUAUGUUGAAUGUGCGACCGAGACUACACUAUGUAGGUACCUGUGCAGGUAAGGCGUCGGUCGGUCCUAGAAAUGGCAGCAGCGGCGCGAGGAUUUAACGAUCGGACGUGCUGCAACUUAAAGAUCACCAGGCAGCUCUUUUGCUCUAUAGGGAUCGGGGGGGCAUAGCACAAUUCUUCUUGGAGGAGGGUUGUUUGCUCGGGUGACUGAUCCUACCAUAAUGUACUUAUACCUAUUAUAGCACCGGCAGCCGAAGUCGAGCAUACAUACGAUGAUCUUCAUGUGUGAAUAGCCGGGAGGAAAGAAAGGGCGGUAGAUGAUAAUGAGAAAGGGCGCCACGUCUGGACGGGCGAAAUGGAUGAGCGAAAGGUGUCAUGCCAUGGAGUGGGGAAUAGCCCUCGUCUCAUGUAAGACAACUAAAUGCACCUCGAGGCCGAGGAACUGAGGGACCUUCUCGAGCACAAGAUAGGUAAUUGAGAGAUAGAGAAAGCCUAUUCGUUAUGGGAAAUCAAUGCUCCGGGCCAAAUAGAGAUUACCUACGACACCUGGCUUUCUCCAGUGAGCUUUCUAUCGUAAAGCCAAAGACGCCCUAAGACAAGGUACAACUAUUGGGAAGAGGACAUAAUCAAUAGAACCUGGCUGGAUCCGGGCUGGGAUAGUGGCGCCCAUUCUUAACCAGUUCCGAAAGGGUUCGCUCAUGCUUGAGGGAGAAUCCCCACUUAGUGAUCGUUCCGCUAGUUCACACAAAUCUGAAGAAGUUAUCAUGGAUGAGCCACAUGCAGGGAAACUUGCACGUGUGGUUCUGGUCGGGCUUUCCUGAGGUAUCUAAUAACCUUGCUUCUGCUCGCCGCUGGCACACCUCUCCUAACUAUUGCCCAUUUAUUCUGGAAUAAUCUUUUUAGGAGGGACUUACAUAUUUCUGCCAAAUCCUUCUAUUAUUAAGUACGGCUGGUACCAUUUCGAUGUGUUUCAAUUCUUUCGAACAAGAGAGGUUUGAUGCUUUUGAAUCCAUUGUAUUAAUUCCACUUCCUACUCGCGGUAUGCUCUUUAUGAUCUCGACUUAUGAUUCAAUUGCCAUGUAUUUAGCUAUUGAGCCUCAAAGUUUAUGUUUUUAUGUGAUCGCAACAUCAAAAAGAAAGUCUGAAUUUUCUACGGAAGCAGGCUCGAAAUAUUUGAUCUUAGGUGCAUUUAUUAUUGUUUGGGUACGACCGGACAACUACCGAUAUCUAUUAAUAUCUUUUCUUAGAAUGUUCUUUAGAAAUAUAUAUCUAUUUAUCUAUCUCGUAAACUAUCGGAUCUGGUAUUAUAACGAUGUGAAACUUGCAGACCUCAUUGGUUGUAAUAUUUAUCUUACGGGGGGAAUGAAAUCAAAGAAUAUAUAGACUAGUAGAGACCCUCUAUGUAGUUGUCUAUCUAGGGCGAUCGAUCUACAUCUUUCCCCAUAGCCCUGGGGCUGUGUCUCGAUCUCCUAUGUGCAAAAUAGUUGGGACUAGUUCCUAUAGAGAUUCCCCUUGGUCUAAUUCCACUCCUUAUGAUGAAAGUGGAGUCGGCGUGGCAUAAAGUGAAGAUUGGGGAGAAUAGAAAAAAUUCCCUUAUGGGGUAUUCCGAAGGUGUAACCUAGGCAAUGAAAAAGGGGGCCCGAUACUUCAACUAGAGGAGCGACCAGUUGGUUCACCAAACCCCGACCCAGCGUCACACAUUCUCUAGGUCCGAAGGGAUCCCGUGCCCAACUACCGACUCCUCCCGAAAUUGCGUUAAGCCGAGCUAGGAAUAGCCGUUAGUGGACACCCACCACUUUUCACCGGUUAGAGAGGCCCUCUUUAAUACAUUAAGAAAAGAUGUUUACAGGGCCAGAAAGACUCAGUCAUAGGAAUUUAGAACACCUAUGUGCUGGUAACCGAAAACCACCUCGACCGGAUCAGAGUAAACAACACAAUGUCGAAUCAGGCCGCCCUUUACCUUGAAAGAAGUCACAUACGGCCACCAUCUUUCCCAAAAUAAGGGGAGAUCUGCUGCUUACUGCUCAUGGAAACAUCCAACCUCUACUAUAGUCAAGUCGUUUGCCUAUCUUUCUGAUCUUCUUUCCUUCUAUUCAUCAGAUUUUUGGCUUUGACCCAGUGAAAAAUAGGGUUGAUGGUGUUGGCUAAAAAAGGGGGAGAGAGGAGUGCUUUAGGGUACGCUCACUUCUGCAUUUUUGUUUAGGUUCUCGAGAUUUUCAAUCGCUCUUUUUAGUGGUGGGGAGGAAUAGUACGUGAAUGGCAGUUCUCAGACGAGGGAAUCAUUCCUUUCUAAAUAAAAUAAAAAGAAGCUAGAAUCUUUUUAUUAAUAGAGCUUUCACGUCUGCGUAUAGAAUCCUUUUUUGCCCUUCUAUUCUGUUCUUACGGUAGUUGGGUCGGAAUCCGUGUGAUGGUUCGAAAGUCAUUUUAAAUAUUCUUCGCAUCCCCAGAGAGAUAGAUUGUUGCCAUUGUGCCUUGGUCGUCAAAAGGGGCACGAAUAGCCUUAAAGUACUGUUCCAUGUCCCAGAGGUCUUCGACCCUUGGCAUUUCGAAUCCCGUUGAAUGGCUGUGGUUCUGGGACUCAAGUCUGGAGUCGCCAGGUGAGACAUUCGGUUCACGAACCGAAAACCUAUCUCCACAGCAAGCUUCUCAAUUUGACCCGGUCCAUCACGCUUUGGACAUCGCCACCGGAAUCGUUGAGGCCCCAUGAAGACUGCUCUACUUCACUGGGAAGACGCGGUACUCAUUAGCAAGCGUCUAGUGACCAACGAUUUUGGAUUCCCCUGCCUUUCUGCCAUAGUCUACACUUGUCCGUACAAAUGGUCGACCUUGCCAUCAAGUUGGGUCACUCGAUCCUUGAGUGUUUCCUUAACAACAGCCGCCGCUGACAGCAUUCCAUUGCUAUCGUCAUGUACAUGGUACAACAAGAAGAGAAUUAGCAAAAAUCGAAAGGUUUUUACCCAAAACUCUGCUCUGAUACCUCCUAAAGUGAAAUAGGCACGCGCACGGGUAAAGAGUCUGCCUGAGUCAUGCGGCCCCAGGUAACACCUAGUUUAGUGUAGCACCUGGGUUCCGCCUUCUCCUUGUCGAGUUUUGCUUCUGAUCUCUCUCUGAGUCUUUAGUUCGUUACCUUGUACUAUCGAUCUUCUCCCUCUGCUGCUACUGGAGCUACUGGAUAUCGACCUAAGAGAUACUAGACCAGGUGCGAGAGGAAGGGAUGCUGCUAUUGAUGGACCGGUGCUACCUCCGGAUCUAUGAAUCAUAGAAGACGUAAUUGAAAUAUGCACCUGGAAUUAAAUCACAUUGGUAUAAAGAGCUGGAAAGGAAAAAGAGGAGGAAAGAAGCAAGGGACUGAGCGACGAAGCGAGGUUUGGAAUCCUUUAAUUCGAAUUAGCAAAAGCAAUGUCUCCUUGCAUAAUAUGGAUUCCAAACAUUCAUGAUCUGGAUGUGAAUGAGUCGAAUGACUUAUCCCUCGGUCUAUUAGUGAACCAUCUCUCCAGGGAUUGUGAAAGAUGUUCUACUAGAAAUAUUCUUGUUAUUGCUUCGACUCAUAUUCCCCAAAAAGUGGAUCCUGCUCUAAUAGCUCCGAAUAAGUUAAAUACAUGUAUGAAGCUACUAAGGCUUAUUACUCCACAACAAUGAAAACACUUUUUCACUCUUUCAUAUACUAGGGGAUUUCACUUGGAAAAGAAAAUAUUCCAUACUAACGGAUUCGGGUCCAUAACCAUGGGUUUCAAUGCACGAGAUCUUGUAGCACUUACCAAUGAGGUCCUAUCGAUUAGUAUUACCCAGAAUAAAUCAAUUAUAGACACUAAUACAAUU